rnacentral:lncRNA from 10 species
AGCUUGUUUUUAGAGUAUAUAAGAACUUCAUCGUAAAAAAGACAAAUAGUCCCAUUAGAAAAUUGACAAAUGAAUUAGAUAAGUGCCACAUCCUGGAUACAUUUCGGAGGGGUAGUGGGCAAUGGUAUACAAAAAUACCAAAUAUAAAAUUUUCAUCUGGGGGAAUGUUCAGGUUCUAAAUACUAAAUUAGAUUUCAAUGUUUUGUGUUUUUUUUAAAAAAAUCAUAUUGCAACUUGUUUUAUUGUGAUUUUCUACAAGUAUUAAAUACAUUUAAAGAUCUUUUUAUCUUACCAAGAAAUAAUUUGGAAUAGCAUUGGUAUAUUUGACCUUUUGAGUGUCUGUCAUCCUCAGAGAAUGGCCCAUAGUGUGUUGCCUGUGGACAUAGUGUCCAUAGUCCCUUUCUUGUCCUUCUGAGAUAUUUUGGUUUGAUAACAUUUUGUUUUUUGUCUUGAUGCACAGGGACUUUUUUAUAAUAUGAGACUUCAGUUGGUAUUAAUAGGAGUUACCUAUUUAAUUCUCCCAGUCAUCAAUGAGGUAAUCAUCAAUUCCUAUAGUUCAAAUUAGUCAUAAACAAGAGCUACAGCAAGACUGAUAGAGUAAAAACUAUAUAAAUACAGUAAAAAAAAAAUAGAAUUUAUGGUGUGAAAUAUGAAGUAUAGCAAUAUAUAACAAGAACAUGUAAGCACUUGCUUCCACAGCAUAAAUGUAAUUUACAUCUGCAUUAAAGGAUAAUUUUCUCUGUGAAUAAGAGCAAAAUGGUCUUCAGAGAAACAGACUGUUCAUUUGAAGCCAUUUCUGUAAACAUCUUCCAAGAUAGAACUGUAAUGGAUUGAGGAAAUAACACAGAAAAGACAAAAACUUUUGAUUUCAGGCAUGCAAAGUGCUUGGGCAGAUGGACAGUUCCCAUUGUGCAUUGCCUUUGAUAAAUUUGGCCUUAAUUUAUAUAACGAUGCUGUGUUCACAUCCCUCUCCUACCUAAAGUUGUCUUUAUUGGUUUAUAUUGUGUUAAAAUUAGCUUAUAAUUAUUACUUUUGUAUUGUGUUCAGUUUUUUAAGUUGCAUGUUUAUACUAUUUGCUACAGUAUUUUUAAGUUUGGGGUGAAGGCCAUCAGCUGUAUCAAAAAGACAAAACAAUCACUAUUUAUUCAGUAUUGCUGCUUUACAUCUCCAGAAUAAGCUUUCGAUGCCAGGACAGUGACUGCCUGAAAGCUGCAGGAGCUCUUUUCAAUGCAUUUUAUAUAUUUUUAGAAACCAAAUAAAUGCAGAAAACUAUUUCGUAUACUAAUUAUAUUAAACCAGCAGAAAUAUAAAGGCAAUAAAGUAUAUACAUAUAUAUGGGGGGAGGGGAAAGAUUA